UCCUACGGGGGGCAGCAGUCGGGAAUAUUGCGCAAUGGAGGAAACUCUGACGCAGUGACGCCGCGUGCAGGAAGAAGGUUUUCGGAUUGUAAACUGCUUUAGACAGGGAAGAAAAAAGACAGUACCUGUAGAAUAAGCUCCGGCUAACUACGUGCCAGCAGCCGCGGUAAUACGUAGGGGGCAAGCGUUAUCCGGAUUUACUGGGUGUAAAGGGAGCGUAGACGGCAUAGCAAGUCUGAAGUGAAAGCCCAAGGCUCAACCAUGGGACUGCUUUGGAAACUGUUAAGCUAGAGUGCUGGAGAGGG
rnacentral:rRNA from 1 species